CGCGUGGGAAGUAUACCCAAAGGUACGGAAUAGCCUCUGGAAACGGAGAGUAAUACCGUAUGUGCCCUUCGGGGAAAGAUUUAUCGCCUUUGGAUUAGCCGCGUUGGAUUAGGUAGUUGGUGGGGUAAUGGCCUACCAAGCCGACGAUCCAUAGCUGGUUUGAGAGGAUGAUCAGCAACACUGGGACUGAGACACGGCCCAGACUCCUACGGGAGGCAGCAGUGGGGAAUCUUAGACAAUGGGGGAAACCCUGAUCUAGCCAUGCCGCGUGAGUGAUGAAGGCCUUAGGGUCGUAAAGCU
rnacentral:rRNA from 1 species